GUUCACUCAUAUGCCUUUGAGCCUGCAAUGUGUGUGGUCUUGCUGAUACUUGAGAUGCUUUAAAGACAUCUUUCCUAUUGAACUGAUUUAGUUACAACUUUCUAUGCAAAUUACUUAACCUCUCUUUAAUGAUGAUUAUCUCUUAACGAAUCAUAAUUUCCUUGAUCUCUGUUUUUCAUGUGCUUUUCUGGCCAAACUGCAUGUUUUUAAUCUUUUUUCUCUGCAUUUUGCUCCCAAUUUCCACAGGAAACUUUGUUAAAAGCUGACAGUAAUAUCUGUGUCACUGUCCUGAUGAAUGCUAUGUUCUGAAGUUUCCUCUGUCAGAUUAAUUGGGCCAUCACUCUUAAAUUUAGCUCCAUACAAAGUCUCAGAACAUGGCAAGAUGUAGGCAAUUUCUUUGCCAUAAUAUAACGUGAAUGGCCUCUAGUCCAAUUCUCUAUGGAGUCCUCAUUUCCCUCUGGAACCUCUUGAGCAUAGUCUUUACUGUCUGUAUUCCUAUCAACAAUCUGGUCUUCUGAGCUUCCACCAGAAUUGCCCAGUAAACUCUGCCUACAGCAUUUUAAGGCUUCUCUAGCUUGGAUCCCUAAACUUUUCCAAAUUUUCCUGCAAACCCAUUUCAAAGUUUUAUAAGCCAUGUGACCAGGUUAGUCACACCCACAACCCCACUUUUAGAUACCAGUUUCUGGGUUAGUCAGCUUUCAUCACUAUGAACAAAAUACCUGACAAGAACAAAUUGGAGGAGGAAAAGUUCAUGGGCUUGUGAUUUCAGAAGCUUCAGUCCAUGGUUGGCUGACUUUAUUGUUUUGGGCCCAAAGUGAGGCAGCACACCACAGUGGAAAGGUGGCAGCAGAGGAAAGAUGCUACCUCAUGGUGGCAGGGAAGCAGAGAGGGAGACAGAGGGAAGGUGCCCUAGGGAAGAUGAAUAGUUGCAGGGCAAAUUCCAGAGAUCCUCUCUCUUCCAGCUGUACCACACCUGCCUGUAAUUAUCACCCAGCUAGUCCGUUCCAAUCAGGAUGGACCCAUUUGGUUACAACUCUCACAGUCCAAACAUUUCACUUCCAAACUUUCAUGUACUCACAUGGGAACUUUUGGGAAAC
rnacentral:lncRNA from 1 species